AGUGAACGCUGGCGGUAGGCCUAACACAUGCAAGUCGAACGGCAGCACAGUAAGAGCUUGCUCUUACGGGUGGCGAGUGGCGGACGGGUGAGGAAUACAUCGGAAUCUACUUUUUCGUGGGGGAUAACGUAGGGAAACUUACGCUAAUACCGCAUACGACCUACGGGUGAAAGCAGGGAUCUUCGGACCUUGCGCGAUUGAAUGAGCCGAUGUCGGAUUAGCUAGUUGGCGGGGUAAAGGCCCGCCAAGGCGACGAUCCGUAGCUGGUCUGAGAGGAUGAUCAGCCACACUGGAACUGAGACACGGUCCAGACUCCUACGGGAGGCAGCAGUGGGGAAUAUUGGACAAUGGGCGCAAGCCUGAUCCAGCCAUACCGCGUGGGUGAAGAAGGCCUUCGGGUUGUAAAGCCCUUUUGUUGGGAAAGAAAAGCAGCAGGUUAAUACCCCGCUGUUCUGACGGUACCCAAAGAAUAAGCACCGGCUAACUUCGUG
rnacentral:rRNA from 1 species